UUAAUAAUUUUACAAAUAAUCAGACAAUAGGUUACAAAAGAGUUUUGUGGUCCUCUGGCAGGCACUGACCAGCAAAUUUGCCAGUGGCCUUAAGACGGGCCUGCCAAAGCAACAAAGUAUUGUAAACAAAGGGUGGGAGAUAUACCCCAAAGGGCAUUUUCUCUGUAAUGAUCCUUCCGCAGGUUCACCUACGGAACACAAUAAUUACUGUUUUUCCAACAGUGGGCCGGUCAUAUUUUAAUUCAACAGCGUAAGGGCUAGAGAACCACCUUUGUUUGAUCUGUGAGCUGGUUUAACAGCUGCUUGUUACCUUUAAGGUCUCCAAGCACAAUAAAGAUGUUGCCUAUAAAAUAGACUUUAGGUUCAAGGCUUCAAUAGGCAUUCUAUAGAGGAAA
rnacentral:misc_RNA from 1 species